UACGUAGGGGGCAAGCGUUGUCCGGAAUCAUUGGGCGUAAAGCGCGUGUAGGCGGCCCGAUAAGUCCGCUGUGAAAGUCCAGGGCUCAACCCUGGGAUGCCGGUGGAUACUGUCGGGCUCGAGUCCGGAAGAGGCGAGUGGAAUUCCUGGUGUAGCGGUGAAAUGCGCAGAUAUCAGGAGGAACACCGGUGGCGAAGGCGGGAUCCUGGGCCAGUACUGACGCUGAGGAGCGAAAGCGUGGGGAGCAAACAGG
rnacentral:rRNA from 1 species